rnacentral:rRNA from 1 species
UACGGAGGAUCCGAGCGUUAUCCGGAUCUAUUGGGUUUAAAGGGAGCGUAGGCGGGUUGUUAAGUCAGUUGUGAAAGUUUGCGGCUCAACCGUAAAAUUGCAGUUGAUACUGGCAUCCUUGAGUACAGUAGAGGUAGGCGGAAUUCGUGGUGUAGCGGUGAAAUGCUUAGAUAUCACGAAGAACUCCGAUUGCGAAGGCAGCCUGCUGGACUGUAACUGACGCUGAUGCUCGAAAGUGUGGGUAUCAAACAGG